GAUUUCUGAUUGACCUCCCUGGCCCGCGGCUUUCUGGUCGUGAGUGCUGUGGAGAGUCUGUCAUCCUUCUAGAGAGCCAUGCCUGCUGUUCAUUCAGCUGGGCGUGUGCGAUCUAGAUCAUUUACUUUGAAAAAAUUAGAGUGUUUAAAGCAGGCUUAUGCUGUGAAUACAUUAGCAUGGAAUAAUAAUAUAGGACUUCGGUUCUAUUUUGUUGGUUCAUAGAAUUGAAGUAAUGAUUGAUAGGGAUAGUUGGGGGUGCUAGUAUUCAGCGGCCAGAGGUGAAAUUCUUGGAUUCGCUGAAGACUAACUUAUGCGAAAGCAUU
rnacentral:rRNA from 1 species